AUUACUAUAUUUCUUUUCAGAUACGCCGUCUUUUAUAAUAUUAUAGAAUAACAGAAUAAUUUAUGGGUAGCGUGAUAGACUUUGUGUCAGUCAUAUCGUUCUGGGCUCGGUCUCGUAGAUGCUUGCCCGAAUUAGCAAAGCAAUUAUGCUAAUCAUACCGCAAGAAAAAAUAGAUAAAUUACACAUUCGUAUAAUUAAAUAUCUUUUUUGAGAAUGACUCAUUUCAGCGUUUUAGUAGGCAAUGUCUCCACUUUUAAUGUAUUUAUUUCCUGACGUUAAAAAACAAAUUUUCUUUCAGAUGUACUGUCCAUUUUGUGGAACUGCCGCCAUAAAUUCUGCAGACUUUUGUUGUCAAUGUGGCAGAAACAUAAAAUUUGUCCAAGAUCAUGCAAACAAAGCCCAAGAUGAGAGGAACACUACCACUGCAACUCCCGAUGUUCAACCAAGCACCAGCACAGGUGUAGAGUGUUUCAUGAACUUUAGAGCUAUAAAUGAGAGGGAAAGAAAGAAAUGUUUUACCAAGAAGCAUCAGAACAAAACACAGAAGGGAAAUAAACUGAAGGUAUGCCUUUAAUUUAGUGCAAACACAAACUGGAAAUUACAUACUUCAUCAAAUAAUUUAAUUUGAUUGAUUAAAUUUUGUCUCUCCGCAGAUUAAUGUUGGGCUUAUGAGGAUGCAGGGAGAUUCCCUUAAGACAGUGAGAGGGAAGUUACUUCCAGUUGAGAUUCACCCUGAGUGGGCAUCGGAACAAGUGCUUGCUGCUGCUGUAAAGAAGCAAAAGGAUAUAGGUCAAUAUAGACCUGAGAGAUUGUGCCCAUGUCUUGUUGUAUCCUGAUGCAAGGGAGGUUAAGAACAUCCCAGGAACAGACAUUCCUUUCACAGUGCAAAAGUACAAGGAGGCAAUUGGAAAGCCUUACCAAAGAAUUACGCUUUACAUUUGCCCUGUUGAGGAAUUUGCAAAUAGCUGUAAGUGCUUUUGAUCUACAUUCCAAAUAGUUUGAAGAUCAAUUUUGCUAUAGUCUUAUAGUUAAAAUGGCAAAAUUUCCUCCUAUAUCCAGAAUUCUGUGCAUGAUUAAUUCUAGCUAUGAUGUCAUAUAUUUUAUCUAAGGAAGCCAAAGGAUUUUCCUCUUUACAAAACCUACCUCCCUUUUGUAAAGACUGAUGUACAAACGUACAUUUUAUUAAUUGCAAAAUUUAGCCUUGCAAAAGAAAAUUUAUUAUUUAUAGUACACAUUUAUAGUAUAUUUCUUUUCACUGGUUGUUGAAAUGAUAGUAACCAUUUUCCUUUGGUUAAUAUCAACGAACAAAACUGUGUGGUUCAUAGUAAUAGAAGACUUACUGUGUUCAAAUAACUUUAAUAACAUAAACUUACCUAAUUUUUAAAGUGCAAUCAGUAAUACUUUUAUAACAAAUUUAUAUCAGUAAUGAUUUCAUAAAUAUUAAUUUAUGUUUUUGGUUAUUGUUCUCUACCAUAGAUAUCCAGUGCAGGUACAUUGACUGAACUACACCAGUCAGUUGAAAGACAUGCAAGCAUCUUGCCAACUGCUGGUUGCUUGCAGUUCCCUGUGACUGUUGAUGACAAAUUGAAAAUUGUAAAGGAGUUCAUUGAUUGGUACAUCAUUUACCGCAACCAUUUCUCUAUUCAAAGGUAAUGUUUCUCUUCCUUAACUUAAAAAAUAACUAUGCUAAUUUAGUUACUAUUUUGUUGCAGUUAAUACAAGCAAAUGUACAAUAGUGCAAGAAUCAAUCAAUCAAUCAACAGCACCCAGCAGCCAAAUAAGUAGGAGCCUUAUUGAUUGGACGGCUUAACUGGAGGAAAUUAACGUUACUGUAGGUUAAUUCACUGUGUACAGUGCAUCAGCAAUAUUACCUAUGCUAAAUAAAAAUAGUAAAAAAAGAUUAGACAUAUUAAUGUUCUUUGUGUUACUGAAAAAUAUCAGCUCUUUUGAUAAUAAUUAAGGUGAUUUCUGUUUCAAACUUUUUAUAGAUUCAAGGAUGGCCUUUCAACACUGAACUUCCAGAAUGCUUUGGAGCAGCAUGCUUCCGUCUUCAGGCCAUUUAUGUGUGCAAGAGUGGAACAGCUGACAUCCAAAAUAUUGGAGGAAAUAUUUGAGGUUCAGCUCAGUGAAAAGGGUAGCAGCAGACGACAUGAGGAAACAAGAGUGCUAGGAUUCUGGAGAGACUUUCUCCUUGACACAGAAGAACAAAAAACGGGCCUCUCUCUCCAGGACAUCCUGAUGUUUGCCACCGGCUUGAACACACUACCUCCAUCUUCAAUUCUGCCACCACCAAAACUGAUCUUUCAGGCCA